GGGAUGAACGCUGGCGGCGUGCUUAACACAUGCAAGUCGAACGAUGAACCUCACUUGUGGGGGGAUUAGUGGCGAACGGGUGAGUAACACGUGAGUAACCUGCCCUUAACUCUGGGAUAAGCCUGGGAAACUGGGUCUAAUACCGGAUAUGACUCCUCAUCGCAUGGUGGGGGGUGAAAGCUUUUUUGUGGUUUUGGAUGGACUCGCGGCCUAUCAGCUUGUUGGUGAGGUAAUGGCUCACCAAGGCGACGACGGGUAGCCGGCCUGAGAGGGUGACCGGCCACACUGGGACUGAGACACGGCCCAGACUCCUACGGGAGCAGCAGUGGGAAUAUGCACAAUGGGCGCAAGCCUGAUGCAGCGACGCCGCGUGAGGAUGGACGGUCCGUUCGGGUUAGUAACCGUUCGUUUACGGUAGGGAAGAAGGACGAAAGUCGACGGUACCGUGACGAAGAAGAAGCCGCCGGACUAACCGUACGUCGCC
rnacentral:rRNA from 1 species